GAGUUUGAUCCUGGCUCAGGACGAACGCUGGCGGCGCGCCUAACACAUGCAAGUCGAACGAGCGAGAGAGAGCUUGCUUUCUCGAGCGAGUGGCGAACGGGUGAGUAACGCGUGAGGAACCUGCCUCAAAGAGGGGGACAACAGUUGGAAACGACUGCUAAUACCGCAUAAGCCCACAGCUCGGCAUCGAGCAGAGGGAAAAGGAGCAAUCCGUUUUGAGAUGGCCUCGCGUCCGAUUAGCUGGUUGGUGAGGUAAUGGCCCACCAAGGCGACGAUCGGUAGCCGGACUGAGAGGUUGAACGGCCACAUUGGGACUGAGACACGGCCCAGACUCCUACGGGAGGCAGCAGUGGGGAAUAUUGCACAAUGGGGGAAACCCUGAUGCAGCGACGCCGCGUGGAGGAAGAAGGUCUUCGGAUUGUAAACUCCUGUUGCUGAGGAAGAUAAUGACGGUACUCAACAAGGAAGUGACGGCUAACUACGUGCCAGCAGCCGCGGUAAAACGUAGGUCACAAGCGUUGUCCGGAAUUACUGGGUGUAAAGGGAGCGCAGGCGGGAAGACAAGUUGGAAGUGAAAUCUAUGGGCUCAACCCAUAAACUGCUUUCAAAACUGUUUUUCUUGAGUAGUGCAGAGGUAGGCGGAAUUCCCGGUGUAGCGGUGGAAUGCGUAGAUAUCGGGAGGAACACCAGUGGCGAAGGCGGCCUACUGGGCACCAACUGACGCUGAGGCUCGAAAGUGUGGGUAGCAAACAGGAUUAGAUACCCUGGUAGUCCACACCGUAAACGAUGAUUACUAGGUGUUGGAGGAUUGACCCCUUCAGUGCCGCAGUUAACACAAUAAGUAAUCCACCUGGGGAGUACGACCGCAAGGUUGAAACUCAAAGGAAUUGACGGGGGCCCGCACAAGCAGUGGAGUAUGUGGUUUAAUUCGACGCAACGCGAAGAACCUUACCAAGUCUUGACAUCCUGCGACGCACAUAGAAAUAUGUGUUUCCUUCGGGACGCAGAGACAGGUGGUGCAUGGUUGUCGUCAGCUCGUGUCGUGAGAUGUUGGGUUAAGUCCCGCAACGAGCGCAACCCUUACUGUCAGUUACUACGCAAGAGGACUCUGGCAGGACUGCCGUUGACAAAACGGAGGAAGGUGGGGAUGACGUCAAAUCAUCAUGCCCUUUAUGACUUGGGCUACACACGUACUACAAUGGCGUUAAACAAAGAGAAGCAAGACCGCGAGGUGGAGCAAAACUCAGAAACAACGUCCCAGUUCGGACUGCAGGCUGCAACUCGCCUGCACGAAGUCGGAAUUGCUAGUAAUCGUGGAUCAGCAUGCCACGGUGAAUACGUUCCCGGGCCUUGUACACACCGCCCGUC
rnacentral:rRNA from 1 species